AUUGAACGCUGGCGGCAGGCCUAACACAUGCAAGUCGAGCGGAGCGGCGGACGGGUGCGUAAUGCCUAGGAAUCUGCCUGUUAGUGGGGGAUAACGUCCGGAACCGGGCGCUAAUACCGCAUCCUAUCAGAUUAGCCUAGGUCGGGUUGGCUAGUUGGUGGGGGAAGGGCACACCAAGGCGACGAUCCCUAACUGGUCUGAGAGGAUGAUCAGUCACACUGGAACUGAGACACGGUCCAGACUCCUACGGGAGGCAGCAGUGGGGAAUAUUGGACAAUGGGCGAAAGCCUGAUCCAGCCAUGCCGCGUGUGUGAAGAAGGUCUUCGGAUUGUAAAGCACUUUAAGUUGGGAGGCGUUACCAACAGAAGAAGCACCGGCUAACUUCGUGCCAGCCGCCGCGGUAAUAC
rnacentral:rRNA from 1 species